rnacentral:rRNA from 1 species
GAUGAACGCUAGCGGCAGGCUUAAUACAUGCAAGCCGAGGGGUAGCAAGAUUGUAGCAAUACAAUUGUUGACGACCGGCAAACGGGUGCGGAACACGUACACAACCUUCCUACAAGUGGGGAAUAGCCCAGAGAAAUUUGGAUUAAACCCCGUAACAUAGCGAUGUGGCAUCACAUUGCUAUUAUAGCUUCGGCGCUUGUUGAUGGGUGUGCGGCUGAUUAGAUAGUUGGCGGGGUAACGGCCCACCAAGUCUACGAUCAGUAGCUGAUGUGAGAGCAUGAUCAGCCACACGGGCACUGAGACACGGGCCCGACUCCUACGGGAGGCAGCAGUAAGGAAUAUUGGACAAUGGACGCAAGUUUGAUCCAGCCAUGCCGCGUGAAGGAUUAAGGUCCUCUGGAUUGUAAACUUCUUUUAUAAGGGACGAAAAAAGGUCUUUCUAGAUCGUCUGACGGUACCUUAUGAAUAAGCACCGGCUAACUCCGUGCCAGCCGCCGCCGUAACAC